UACGAAGGGGGCGAGCGUUGUUCGGAAUUACUGGGCGUAAAGGGCGCGCAGGCGGCUCUGAAAGUCAGAUGUGAAAGCCCCGGGCUUAACCUGGGAAUUGCAUUUGAUACUCUGGAGCUUGAGUGUGGGAGAGGAGAGUGGAAUUCCCAGUGUAGAGGUGAAAUUCGUAGAUAUUGGGAAGAACACCGGUGGCGAAGGCGGCUCUCUGGACCACAACUGACGCUGAGGCACGAAAGCGUGGGGAGCAAACAGG
rnacentral:rRNA from 1 species